rnacentral:rRNA from 1 species
UGGGGGAUAUUGCACAAUGGGCGAAAGCCUGAUGCAGCGACGCCGCGUGGGGGAUGAAGGCCUUCGGGUUGUAAACUUCUUUUGCUCUGAACAAGGCGCACCAUGGGGUGUGUUGAGUGUAGGGGUUGAUUAGCGCCGGCUAACUACGUGCCAGCAGCCGCGGUAAUACGUAGGGCGCGAGCGUUGUCCGGAUUUAUUGGGCGUAAAGCGAGCGCAGGCGGUUAGAAAAGUCUGAAGUGAAAGGCAGUGGCUCAACCAUUGUAGGCUUUGGAAACUGUUUAACUUGAGUGCAGAAGGGGAGAGUGGAAUUCCAUGUGUAGCGGUGAAAUGCGUAGAUAUAUGGAGGAACACCGGUGGCGAAAGCGGCUCUCUGGUCUGUAACUGACGCUGAGGCUCGAAAGCGUGGGGAGCGAACAGG